AAGUUGUAAUCCACUCGACCCUCACACACACACACACACACACACACACAGGUUUCCAGGUUGCUUGCUCGUGCAAAAUGGAAUUAAAAGAGCUUCUUUCCGAGGAACAAGGAAGGAAAGAGAAAUUCAAGGGUAAUGAAACAGUGGUUCCUAGCAGGACUGGUGACCAAUCGACAAGAGAUGGAGUUGUGAGACUAUGAACACAGGACGCUGAGAUAAUUGGAUAUACUAUCACUCCCACCUACUUGUUGAGAAAAGCAGGUAUUAUCCUGGCUGCCUUUCUGUGAAUUAGCCAACAUGUCAGAUCCUUGAUUCAUGCAACUGCGUUUGAGGUUUACUGCCGCGUAUUUGACUUUGACUACCAUGUCAAUUUUCUACACCAUCUCAACGUUGAUUUAGAUGGCUCAGACAUGGAUGACAUCUGACAUGGAGUUAGAAAUCCCUUGGCUACUUUCUGGAACAGAUUUUUUUGGUCUAGAUUGGGCCAGGAUUACUAAAUAAGCAUGCCACAUCAAGAUUUGAGUUUGCGGUUACGUUUUUGUCCUUUGAUCGACAAUUACUGAUGCAGACUUCUCGGAAGGAUCUGUUUGUGAAAUUGAGAAUC